rnacentral:rRNA from 1 species
UGGGGAAUCUUGGACAAUGGGGGCAACCCUGAUCCAGCCAUGCCGCGUGAGUGAUGAAGGCCUUAGGGUCGUAAAGCUCUUUCGCCUGUGAAGAUAAUGACGGUAGCAGGUAAAGAAACCCCGGCUAACUCCGUGCCAGCAGCCGCGGUAAUACGGAGGGGGUUAGCGUUGUUCGGAAUUACUGGGCGUAAAGCGCACGUAGGCGGACCAGAAAGUUGGGGGUGAAAUCCCGGGGGCUCAACCCCGGAACUGCCUCCAAAACUAUUGGUCUAGAGUUCGAGAGAGGUGAGUGGAAUUCCAAGUGUAGAGGUGAAAUUCGUAGAUAUUAGGAAGAACACCAGUGGCGAAGGCGACUCACUGGACAGGUAUUGACGCUGAGGUGCGAAAGCGUGGGGAGCG